rnacentral:rRNA from 1 species
UACGUAGGGGGCAAGCGUUGUCCGGAUUUAUUGGGCGGAAAGAGCGUGUAGGCGGCCAUACAGGUCCGUUGUGAAAACUGGAGGCUUAACCUCCAGACGUCGAUGGAAACCGUAUGGCUAGAGUCCGGAAGAGGAGAGUGGAAUUCCUGGUGUAGCGGUGAAAUGCGCAGAUAUCAGGAAGAACACCCGUGGCGAAGGCGGCUCUCUGGGACGGUACUGACGCUGAGACGCGAAAGCGUGGUGAGCGAACAGG